rnacentral:rRNA from 1 species
UACGUAGGGGGCUAGCGUUGUCCGGAAUCAUUGGGCGUAAAGCGCGUGUAGGCGGUCCGGUAAGUCCGCUGUGAAAGUCGGGGGGCUCAACCCUCGGAUGCCGGUGGAUACUGUCGGGCUUGAGUACGGAAGAGGCGAGUGGAAUCCUGGUGUAGCGGUGAAAUGCGCAGAUAUCAGGAGGAACACCGGUGGCGGAAGGCGGGUCUCUGGGCCGAUACUGACGCUGAGGAGCGAAAGCGUGGGGAGCAAACAGG